rnacentral:lncRNA from 1 species
GAACUUAGUCUGACAGCUCAGCUUUACCUGCAUCAUGCAACUGUACAAUUAACAUAUUAAGUUUACAGUAUUAGUAGUGCAGGGCUAAGAAUGCAUGAAUAAAUAAUUCAUCUGCAUUACAUUAGUCCUAAUAAUUUAUAUUAAUUGGUCUUGCACUCACCCCUCAAGAAUAACAUUAGAAUAAUGUCAUUUUCUAAAAGCCACUCCAUGUGGUGCUUUACAGUGACUUUGGAAAAGCUGAGAGGUUGUAGCUGCGCCCCUUAGCGUCUCUAAACUAAGCACAGCCUCUCAUCGCUUAUGGAUUAUAUCGAAUACAACCUUUCACCGCAAACAGCGGACGAGGAGCCGCGUGGAGUGGGAGGUACAGUAUGGGAAAGUCAGUGAGUUAACAGGAUGUUUGUCUCGCAAGAGGCCCUCAACUUGUGUAAUCUCGCUGUGUUUUGGGCGAGUUGAAAGGUUCAUCAGAGCUCAUGCCUGUGGUAAAGAGUCGCUAUAGCAACACUCACAUUGUUCUUUGUCUUUAUCUUUUAUUUUAUUUUAUCAUUGAGAAAAUAUGAGCUUCCUUCACUGUGUGUGUGUGUGUGUGUGUGUGUGUGUGUGUGUGUGUGUGUGUGUGUGUGUGUGUGUGUGUGUGUGUGUGUGUGUUAUGAGAGAGUGACGGCUUAGCCAAGUUGACAGGCUGGCACAGGGGGCAGGCAGGACAGCGACUGAACACGCUCAGAUCUGGGGAGAGGUGUCAGUCCUGCAGGCAGCCAAGCAGAAACACACAGGAGCACUUAGGAACAGAGAGCGUCCUUCAGGCCUCAGGACCUCAGCAGCUGUGUCAGCAAGCAUCCAGCCUGCAGAGGGGGUCUUUGAUCAACACACGGAGUCCCUACAAGCUGUUUUGCCGCUGACCCUGACCUCUGACCUUUGCGGAGCUCGAAGAACGCAGAGUGUCCCUACUGGGAUCAAUGGGGAACUACAGGAGUUCGCUUUAGUUCUGCUUGACAGUUUUCAACUGAAGACGGAACAGAACUGAGUGAACGCUUCACAUUCUCUGCUGCUCUGAUGGCAACUGCUACAGCAACUGAACUCUAUGUAUGCUAAUCAACAAAUGGACAUCAGAAUAAUAAAAUAAUAAUAAUGUUGUAUGAUACA